GUUCAACGGCCGCGGUAUCCUAACCGUGCGAAGGUAGCGUAAUCACUUGUUCUUUAAAUGAGGACUAGUAUGAACGGCAUCACGAGGGUUAUACUGUCUCCUCCCUUUAAUCAGUGAAACUGAUCUUCCCGUGAAGAAGCGGGAAUAAAUCUAUAAGACGAGAAGACCCUAUGGAGCUUUAAACACACUACAAUUGCCUCACUCAUGUUAAUCUCUGGAAAACCACUUAUCCGGGCAUUUUGAUAGCAAGUUUUAGGUUGGGGUGACCGCGGAGCAAAAAACAACCUCCACAGCGAACAGGACUCUCCCUUAAGCUCAGGAUUACAACCCUAAGAAUCAAUAAAUUGACACCCAUUGACCCAAUUUCUUGACCAACGGACCAAGUUACCCUAGGGAUAACAGCGCAAUCUACUUCAAGAGCUCCUAUCGACAAGUGGGUUUACGACCUCGAUGUUGGAUCAGGGUAUCCCAGUGGUGCAGCCGCUGCUAACGGUUCGUUUGUUCAACGAUUAAAACCC
rnacentral:rRNA from 1 species